rnacentral:rRNA from 1 species
UACGUAGGGUGCAAGCGUUAUCCGGAAUUAUUGGGCGUAAAGAGCUCGUAGGCGGUUUGUCGCGUCUGCUGUGAAAACCGGAGGCUCAACCUCCGGCCUGCAGUGGGUACGGGCAAAACUAGAGUGCGGUAGGGGGAGAUUGGAAUUCCUGGUGUAGCGGUGGAAUGCGCAGAUAUCAGGAGGAACACCGGUGGCGAAGGCGGAUCUCUGGGCCAUUACUGACGCUGAGGAGCGAAAGCGUGGGGAGCGAACAGG